rnacentral:lncRNA from 1 species
UCCCUCCAGUAUGCACUCUCAGACCACAGCCUCUCUCAGCCUCUUCCCACCACAGAAACUUCUUCCCUGGAGAUCCAGCUCCAGCGACUGAGGGCCUAGUUCCUCAUCGAUCUGCCUGGCUCCUGCUCCCGUCAAAGGCCCCACCCAGAAGAGGCAGUGACAGAGCCAGGCAACACAUCAGACAUUGCCUCACUGUCAUGGAUGCAGUCUCUGA